rnacentral:rRNA from 1 species
GAUGAACGCUGGCGGCGUGCUUAACACAUGCGAGUCGAACGGGAAACCUUUUAUUGAAGCUUCGGCAGAUUUAGCUGGUUUCUAGUGGCGGACGGGUGAGUAACGCGUGGGUAACCUGCCUUAUACAGGGGGAUAACAGUCAGAAAUGGCUGCUAAUACCGCAUAAGCGCACAGAGCUGCAUGGCUCAGUGUGAAAAACUCCGGUGGUAUAAGAUGGACCCGCGUUGGAUUAGCUGGUUGGUGGGGUAACGGCCCACCAAGGCGACGAUCCAUAGCCGGCCUGAGAGGGUGAACGGCCACAUUGGGACUGAGACACGGCCCAGACUCCUACGGGAGGCAGCAGUGGGGAAUAUUGCACAAUGGGGGAAACCCUGAUGCAGCGACGCCGCGUGAAGGAAGAAGUAUCUCGGUAUGUAAACUUCUAUCAGCAGGGAAGAUAAUGACGGUACCUGACUAAGAAGCCCCGGCUAACUACGUG